AUUUAUUUAGUAUAUAAGUACAUUUGACUUCCAAUCAAAAAGAUUGAUCUAUUCAAAAUAAAUA
rnacentral:tRNA from 2 species